rnacentral:rRNA from 1 species
ACGAACGCUGGCGGCACGCUUAACACAUGCAAGUCGAACGAGAGAAGAGAAGCUUGCUUUUCUGAUCUAGUGGCGGACGGGUGAGUAACACGUGAGCAAUCUGCCUUUCAGAGGGGGAUACCGAUUGGAAACGAUCGUUAAUACCGCAUAAUAUAAUUGAACCGCAUGAUUUGAUUAUCAAAGAUUUAUCGCUGAAAGAUGAGCUCGCGUCUGAUUAGCUAGUUGGUAAGGUAACGGCUUACCAAGGCGACGAUCAGUAGCCGGACUGAGAGGUUGAUCGGCCACAUUGGGACUGAGACACGGCCCAGACUCCUACGGGAGGCAGCAGUGGGGAAUAUUGCACAAUGGAGGAAACUCUGAUGCAGCGAUGCCGCGUGAGGGAAGAAGGUUUUAGGAUUGUAAACCUCUGUCUUCAGGGACGAAAAAAGACGGUACCUGAGGAGGAAGCUCCGGCUAACUACGUGCCAGCAGCCGCGGUAAUACGUAGGGAGCGAGCGUUGUCCGGAAUUACUGGGUGUAAAGGGAGCGUAGGCGGGAUCGCAAGUCAGAUGUGAAAACUAUGGGCUUAACCCAUAAACUGCAUUUGAAACUGUGGUUCUUGAGUGAAGUAGAGGUAAGCGGAAUUCCUAGUGUAGCGGUGAAAUGCGUAGAUAUUAGGAGGAACAUCAGUGGCGAAGGCGGCUUACUGGGCUUUAACUGACGCUGAGGCUCGAAAGCGUGGGGAGCAAACAGGAUUAGAUACCCUGGUAGUCCACGCCGUAAACGAUGAUUACUAGGUGUGGGGGGACUGACCCCUUCCGUGCCGCAGCAAACGCAAUAAGUAAUCCACCUGGGGAGUACGACCGCAAGGUUGAAACCCAAAGAAAUUGACGGGGGCCCGCACAAGCAGUGGAGUAUGUGGAUUAAUUCGAAGCAACGCGAAGAACCUUACCAGGUCUUGACAUCGUAUGCAUAGCUCAGAGAUGAGUGAAAUCUCUUCGGAGACAUAUAGACAGGUGGUGCAUGGUUGUCGUCAGCUCGUGUCGUGAGAUGUUGGGUUAAGUCCCGCAACGAGCGCAACCCUUACUGUUAGUUGCUACGCAAGAGCACUCUAGCAGGACUGCCGUUGACAAAACGGAGGAAGGUGGGGAUGACGUCAAAUCAUCAUGCCCCUUAUGACCUGGGCCUCACACGUACUACAAUGGCUGUUAACAGAGGGAUGCAAAGCCGCGAGGUGGAGCGAACCCCUAAAAGCAGUCUUAGUUCGGAUUGUAGGCUGCAACCCGCCUACAUGAAGUCGGAAUUGCUAGUAAUCGCAGAUCAGCAUGCUGCGGUGAAUACGUUCCCGGGCCUUGUACACACCGCCCGUCACGCCAUGGGAGUCGGUAACACCCGAAGCCUGUAGUCUAACCGCAAGGAGGACGCAGUCGAAGGUGGGAUUGAUGACUGGGGUG